ensembl:lncRNA
GGAGCCGACAAACUUCGUGAGACCAUUUGCUGAGGUUCUUCGAGAAACCGCGGUUUUCUGUUUGCAGGUCCCAGGACACAGAGCCGAAGGCUGCUUUGCCAGGAAGACAGCGCCCUCUCUCUCCGCCAGCCUGUCUGUCGGCCUGCGCCCCCUCCCUGCUCGGCUGACCUCCGGGCGCCUCCCUCUGGUCCCCGCCCUCCCGCUCUGAGUCUCCUCCUUCUUCUAGCCGGUACUGCGAUCCGCCCUACUACUAAUUGCCCAUCAACUCGGGAGAGCAGCGGCCUGAGAGCCCGCCUGGGUUGGGGUCCGCGGCCACCGGGCUAGAGCGCCCUACCCCGGUCUGCACAACUGGGCGGAGCCGUCCCGGCACAGCAGCGGUGCCUGGGUCUGCGAACAGCAAGUGGAUGGGAAAGAACCUUGACAACACAAAACUCAUUUACUAAUGGACUGGUUUUGAGUUUCUCCUCCCUGGGUCCGCAAAUCUCCUUCCUGAUCCCUUGGCCUAGUCAGUCUUCGCAGUCAACGGCGUCCUGCACUGGGCAGGUGGGCGGCAGUUUUCGUGUGUUGCUCAGAAUCUGAACCUAGCUCCCCAAGGACGCCGGGCACCAGCGGCUUCCGUCCAAGGAGAGGAAGAAGAUGAACAUUGUUGCCUCGGCUCGGCUCGGAUCUGAGUCUCCGCAUUGCUGCAUAGAGAUGGCAUUAGUUUAUUGAGGAUGCCCUUGACUUCCAAAUCCGUAGGUAGGGGUAGGAGUCCUUUUUGAUGAUAAAGGAACUCCAAGAAACCCGGCUGGGAGCCUCAAGUCAUCUUGCUUCAAGUCAGAAGGAAAACAAGUAGGACCCAGAUACAGGAUUUUGAUUCAAGGCCUAUGUCGACCCAGCAGCUCUAUAUGUUGUCGCCUUGGCCUUUCGGAGCACCGCCUGUGUGCCUGGCCAUUACCAGCACUGUGGAGGCACCCUGAGCCUCUCCUCCAGAGGCACCCUACUAAGCCCGGAAGCUGCCAGGGCAGCAGCAAACAGACUAGAGUGGUUGGGUUUCCUUUAAAUUCCCGACGCAUCUCUGCUUUUUCAUGCGAUUUGCAUUGACAGCAAAGGUUUUAUAUUACAGAACAACUCCAACCUUUCUGUGCGCGAUUUAAAAUGGAUCAUUUGGUUUAUGUGGUUUGUAAAUUCAUGUCAUUUUACCUCUUUUAGUGGUUUUCAGUGAAAGGUUCCAUUUGGGGAAACCUUAUAUAUCCAAGCCAAUAAUUAUCAUUUAUAACAAUUGGUUCUCUUAACCGAGGGAUCCAAAUAGCAGGUAGGCUCCUUGGUACAAAGCGCACAGCACUUUUCCUUUUUAGUUAAGUGAUCUAUUGGAUUAAAUGGGAGGGAGUGAAAGGCUGGCGUGUCCAGCGCCCACCCCCACCUCCACCCCGCUCCCUCCUCUGCCUCUGAGAAAAAGUACCUCUCAUAACCUCGGUGCCGGUUAUCACAGAACUUAUGCCACUCCUCUUGCCAGUUGUCACCAGUGUCUGGUACAGUCCUGAUUCCUUUUGAAGAGAGAUUAAAUAAAAAAAAAAAAAAAAAAAAAGGGCCUGGGGGAUCUGGAGGAUGCCAGGGAAAUGGUAGUCAUAUACUACCAUUCAUUCCUGCUAUCCUCUGCAAAUGUAUACCUGUAGUUAUCUGUGACUUAUACCUCUCUUCCCUACAAAGACUGUUAAUUACAAAGUAUACUCUGCACUCAACGUACCGUUUGUCCUUUAAGUGACUGUGUUUAUAGCCCUCCUCCCAUUUUAAUUGUGCACACUUGUUCCAGACAUUAGGGUACUGAUUUUGAGAGCCCAUAUAAGUCCCCAUUCUGGUCCUCACACAGCUGCCAUGUCAAUAAGGACUGUUCCAAGCAGAGACAUUCCUCUUGGCAGGACACUGCCGUUCCUUAAGACUUCAUCUGAAACGUCAUGAGCACUAAAAUAAGACAGUGAGGGAAAAUUACCAGGCACAUAGCCUAGGGCUCAGCAGUGCCAGGCUUCUAGUUUAGAAAGUAAGCCAUUGGGCAUACCAUGUGGCAGGAGCUCUUUUGAAAUAAUACACACCCAUUAAAUGUAUUUUUUUUAAAAAAAGCCUAAAUGUAAUGAUGUAUCAGCAUCUGCUUUCAAGGUUUAAUUGCAUGGGAUAGCAUGAGUUCCAAAGAGGCAGAAAGCAUGGUGUGGGAAGAGCCUUUCUGUCUACUUGGAGUCUCCCAGGAGAAACAACCUCGAAGUGGGAACCCUUUAUGAGUUUGAAUUGCAUGUUACAGGGUGCGUUGGACUGGGUGCAUUAUUUUAAAACCAUAUAAAUAAUACAAGGGGAAACCCUUCUCUCACUUAGAGGUCAAAAUGCAAAACAGUUCUGUGGUGCAGUCUCUUUGGCUGAUGAAAUCAAAACACUGAAAGAAGACAAGCACGUUUAAAGAGCCCAAGGUUUGCUCCUGGCCAUUCUCUAAGAGGG